GAUGAACGCUGGCGGCGUGCCUAAUGCAUGCAAGUCGAGCGAACGGACGAGAAGCUUGCUUCUCUGAUGUUAGCGGCGGACGGGUGGGUAACACGUGGAUAACCUACCUAUAAGACUGGGAUAACUUCGGGAAACCGUAGCUAAUACCGGAUAAUAUUUUGAACCGCAUGGUUCAAAAGUGAAAGACGGUCUUGCUGUCACUUAUAGAUGGAUCCGCGCUGCAUUAGCUAGUUGGUAAGGUAACGGCUUACCAAGGCAACGAUGCGUAGCCGACCUGAGAGGGUGGUCAGCCACCCUGGGGCUGGGCCACGGUCCAGCCUACUACGGGAGGCACCAGUAGGGACUCUUCCGCAAUGGGCGGAAGCCUGACGGAGCAACGCCGCGUGGGUGAUGAAGGUCUUCGGAUCGUACAACUCUGUUAUUAGGGAAGAACAUAUGUGUAAGUAACUGUGCACAUCUUGACGGUACCUAAUCAGAAAGCCCCGGCUAACUACGUG
rnacentral:rRNA from 1 species